rnacentral:lncRNA from 1 species
GGGAGUAUCUUGUUCUGGUUUGGGGCAGGGAGUGGGGGGAUGUAACAGCAACUCUUGGCUGCUGAAUAGGGGAUGUGGAGUGGGCGGAGACUUGGAGGCAGGUCAUCAAGGGCAAAGAAUGGAGUAAGGAGAAUCCAAUGCUAUUGGAAAGGGUGAAGAUUGAGAGCAGAAAUAUUACUGAUGAAAACAGAAAUUUGGAUACAAGAAGAUCACCAUGCUCCAACUUUUCAAGGUUACUAAAUCAUGCAGGCCAGAGGAAAGGUUGUUUCUCCUUCGAGAUCGUAAGGAACAUGGUCACACGACAAGCGAAGCCAGAAGCGGGACAGAGAACACGGCAAGGCUGUUUGGUCGUCCAAGAGCACGAGAAAUGGCUGACCCCCUAAUGAUAUGUAUAAAAAUAUAAAAUGUAAAUAAAAAAUACAAACAAAUUUUCCUUUAAAGUACU